UGGAUGAUGUGGAUUAAUUCGAUGCAACGCGAAGAACCUUACUACCCUUGGCAUGUCCGGAACUUGCCAGAGAUGGCUUGGUGCCCGAAAGGGAAUCGGAACACAGGUGCUGCAUGGCUGUCGUCAGCUCGUGUCGUGAGAUGUUGGGUUAAGUCCCGCAACGAGCGCAACCCUUAUCAUUAGUUGCUACGCAAGGGCACUCUAAUGAGACUGCCGGUGACAAACCGGAGGAAGGUGGGGAUGACGUCAAGUCCUCAUGGCCCUUAUGGGUAGGGCUUCACACGUCAUACAAUGGUCGGUACAGAGGGUUGCCAAGCCGCGAGGCGGAGCCAAUCCCACAAAGCCGAUCGUAGUCCGGAUUGUUCUCUGCAACUCGAGAGCAUGAAGUCGGAAUCGCUAGUAAUCGCAGGUCAGCAUACUGCGGUGAAUACGUUCCCGGGUCUU
rnacentral:rRNA from 1 species